ACUCAAAGGAAUUGACGGGGACCCGCACAACCGGUGGAGCGUGUGGUUCAAUUCGAGACAAAACGAAGAACCUCACCAGGGUUUGACAUGGUACCGUUUAUUUCCCAAGAAACUGGGAGAAAUCCGUAAGGAUGGUAUCACAGGUGCUGCAUGGCUGUCGUCAGUUCGUGCCGUGAGGUGUUCCCUUAAGUGGGGAAACGAACGCAACCCCCAUCCAAUGUUAAAUAACUCAUUGGAGACUGUCCCCGAUUUUAUCGGGGGAGGAAGGAGGGGUAGAUGUCAAGUCAGCACGGCCCUUACACCCUGGGCUACACACACACUACAAUGGCGAAUAACAAUGAGUUGCAAGCCGGCAACGGCAAGCUAAUCUCUAAAAUUUCGCCCCAGUUCAGAUUGGAGUCUGAAACCUGACUCCAUGAAGUCGGAAUCGGUAGUAAUCGCGGAUCAGCAUGCCGCGGUGAAUACGUUCUCGGGUCUUGCACACACCGCCCGU
rnacentral:rRNA from 1 species